AUUGAACGCUAGCGGGAUGCCUUACACAUGCAAGUCGAACGGAGUGGCGAACGGGUGAGUAAUGUAUCGGAACGUGCCCAGUAGCGGGGGAUAACUACGCGAAAGCGUAGCUAAUACCGCAUACUAUUGGAGCGGCCGAUAUCGGAUUAGCUAGUUGGUGGGGUAACGGCUCACCAAGGCGAAGAUCCGUAGCUGGUUUGAGAGGACGACCAGCCACACUGGGACUGAGACACGGCCCAGACUCCGACGAGAGGCAGCAGUUGGGAAGUUUGGACAAGGGGGCAAAACCUGAGACAGCCAUCCCGCGUGAGCGAUGAAGGACUUCGGGUUGUAAAGCACUUUUGGCAGGAAAGCGGUACCUGAAGAAUAAACACCGGCUAACUACGGGCCAGCCGCCGCGGUAAUAC
rnacentral:rRNA from 1 species